rnacentral:rRNA from 1 species
AGAGUUUGAUUCUGGCUCAGAGCGAACGCUGGCGGCAGGCUUAACACAUGCAAGUCGAACGACGUAGCAAUACGUUAGUGGCAGACGGGUGAGUAACACGUGGGAACAUCCCCCUUGGUCGGAAUAACUCAGGGAAACUUGAGCUAAUACCGGAUAAGUCCGAGAGGAGAAAGAUUCACGCCGAGGGAUUGGCCCGCGUCUGAUUAGCUAGUUGGUGAGGUAAUGGCUCACCAAGGCACGAUCGGUAGCUGGUCUGAGAGGAUGAUCAGCCACACUGGGACUGAGACACGGCCCAGCUCCUACGGGAGGCAGCAGUGGGGAAUAUUGGACAAUGGGCGCAAGCCUGAUCCAGCCAGCCGCGUGAGUGAUGAAGGCCCUAGGGUUGUAAAGCUCUUUCGCCAGGGACGAUAAUGAGGUACCUGGAUAAGAAGCCCCGGCUAACUUCGUGCCAGCAGCCGCGGU